GCUUGCUGUACCCCAAAUAAGAUUUAGAGAAAGAGGUAUUUCUCUAAAAUAAUUUGGGUGUUGCUUUUGACAUGCGAGUGAACUCAAAUCAAAUACAAAGAAAACUCACAAAGCCUUGAGAAAACUGUACUGACAAAGUCAGCCUACAUUAGAAGAGACUGAGAUUGUUUGGACUCCCAAUUUUGAAUGCCAUGAAGCUGGCUGAGAAAGUUACUCAGCAGACCAAAAUGGUUUAUUCUCUAAAGUUCUCUUCAGAAGGGGCUGAGGAGGAUGGAAAAUGAAGACUCUCCCAAAGGGUGGAACCAAGAGCUGUGGAGGACAAGGACACCAGAGCCACUCCCAGUGAACAGAACCACAGCCUAAUCAAGGAACAGACUCUAUCACAAAAUCAAGAGGAGCUGGAUCAAGCCUCAGGUAGAACAUGAGGUGCUGGACUUUAAGAAUGAUGACAGGAUGGGUAAGACUUUUGAAGGUCCCGUGAUUGGGAUUGAAUGUAUUGAUAUUUUUGUAUGUGUGAGAGACAUGAAUAAUUAUGGCCUAGAGAUAUGUUGUGGUUGAAGGACUUAUUGGCCAUCCCUGAAACCUUUGCAAUGCUUCUUCAUGGGUGAA
rnacentral:lncRNA from 1 species